rnacentral:rRNA from 1 species
AGUAUAGCAAUUAUACAGCGAAACUGCGAAUGGCUCAUUAUAUAAGUUAUCGUUUAUUUGAUAGUACCUUACUACUUGGAUAACCGUGGUAAUUCUAGAGCUAAUACAUGCUGAAAAUCCCGACUUCGGAAGGGAUGUAUUUAUUAGAUUCAAAACCAAUGCCCUCUGGGCUCACUGGUGAUUCAUGAUAACUCUUCGAAUCGCAUGGCCUUGCGCCGGCGAUGGUUCAUUCAAAUUUCUUCCCUAUCAACUUUCGAUGUUUGGGUAGUGGCCAAACAUGGUUGCAACGGGUAACGGAGGGUUAGGGCUCGACCCCGGAGAAGGAGCCUGAGAAACGGCUACUACAUCCAAGGAAGGCAGCAGGCGCGCAAAUUACCCAAUCCCGACACGGGGAGGUAGUGACAAUAAAUACUGAUACAGGGCUCUUUUGGGUCUUGUAAUUGGAAUGAGUACAAUUUAAAUCCCUUAACGAGGAACAAUUGGAGGGCAAGUCUGGUGCCAGCAGCCGCGGUAAUUCCAGCUCCAAUAGCGUAUAUUAAAGUUGUUGUGGUUAAAAAGCUCGUAGUUGAACCUUGGGCCUGGCUGGCCGGUCCGCCUCACCGCGUGUACUGGUCCGGCCGGGCCUUUCCCUCUGUGGAACCCCAUGCCCUUCACUGGGUGUGGCGGGGAAACAGGACUUUUACUUUGAAAAAAUUAGAGUGCUCCAGGCAGGCCUAUGCUCGAAUACAUUAGCAUGGAAUAAUGAAAUAGGACGCGCGGUUCUAUUUUGUUGGUUUCUAGGACCGCCGUAAUGAUUAAUAGGGACAGUCGGGGGCAUCAGUAUUCAAUUGUCAGAGGUGAAAUUCUUGGAUUUAUUGAAGACUAACUACUGCGAAAGCAUUUGCCAAGGAUGUUUUCAUUAAUCAGGAACGAAAGUUAGGGGAUCGAAGACGAUCAGAUACCGUCGUAGUCUUAACCAUAAACUAUGCCGACUAGGGAUCGGACGAUGUUAUUUUUUGACUCGUUCGGCACCUUACGAGAAAUCAAAGUG